rnacentral:rRNA from 1 species
AUUGAACGCUGGCGGCAAGCCUAACACAUGCAAGUCGAACGAGUGGCGGACGGGUGAGUAAUGUCUGGGAACCUGCCUGAUGGAGGGGGAUAACUACUGGAAACGGUAGCUAAUACCGCAUACCAUCGGAUGUGCCCAGAUUGGAUUAGCUAGUAGGUGGGGUAAAGGCUCACCUAGGCGACGAUCCCUAGCUGGUCUGAGAGGAUGACCAGCCACACUGGAACUGAGACACGGCCCAGACUCCUACGGGAGGCAGCAGUGGGGAAUAUUGGACAAUGGGCGAAAGCCUGAUGCAGCCAUGCCGCGUGUAUGAAGAAGGCCUUCGGGUUGUAAAGUACUUUCAGCGGGGAGGCGUUACCCGCAGAAGAAGCACCGGCUAACUCCGUGCCAGCAGCCGCGGUAAUUC